UACGUAGGGGGCGAGCGUUGUCCGGAUUUAUUGGGCGUAAAGAGCUCGUAGGCGGUUUGGUAAGUCGGAUGUGAAAUCUCCAGGCUCAACUUGGAGGGGUCAUUCGAUACUGCCAUGACUAGAGUUCGGUAGGGGAGUGUGGAAUACCUGGUGGAGCGGUGAAAUGCGCAGAUAUCAGGUGGAACACCCGUAGCGAAGGCGGCACUCUGGGCCGGAACUGACGCUGAGGAGCGAAAGCGUGGGGAGCGAACAGG
rnacentral:rRNA from 1 species